rnacentral:rRNA from 1 species
UGGUGGAGUGAUUUGUCUGCUUAAUUGCGAUAACGAACGAGACCUUAACCUGCUAAAUAGCCAGGCUUGCUUUUGCAGGUCGCCGGCUUCUUAGAGGGACUAUCGGCUCAAGCCGAUGGAAGUUUGAGGCAAUAACA